GACGAACGCUGGCGGCGUGCUUAACACAUGCAAGUCGAACGGAAAGGCCCGGCUUUUGUGGGGUGCUCGAGUGGCGACGGGGUGAGUAACACGUGAGUAACCUGCCCUUGACUUUGGGAUAACUUCAGGAAACUGGGGCUAAUACCGGAUAGGAGCUCCGGCUGCAGGGUGGGGGUUGGAAAGUUUCGGCGGUUGGGGAUGGACUCGCGGCUUAUCAGCUUGUUGGUGGGGUAGUGGCUUACCAAGGCUUUGACGGGUAGCCGGCCUGAGAGGGUGACCGGCCACAUUGGGACUGAGAUACGGCCCAGACUCCUACGGGAGGCAGCAGUGGGGAAUAUUGCACAAUGGGCGGAAGCCUGAUGCAGCAACGCCGCGUGCGGGAUGACGGCCUUCGGGUUGUAAACCGCUUUCGCCUGUGACGAAGCGUGAGUGACGGUAAUGGGUAAAGAAGCACCGGCUAACUACGUG
rnacentral:rRNA from 1 species